AACGCGAAGAACCUUACCUACUCUUGACAUCCAGAGAACUUAGCAGAGAUGCUUUGGUGCCUUCGGGAACUCUGAGACAGGUGCUGCAUGGCUGUCGUCAGCUCGUGUUGUGAAAUGUUGGGUUAAGUCCCGCAACGAGCGCAACCCUUAUCCUUUGUUGCCAGCGGUUAGGCCGGGAACUCAAAGGAGACUGCCAGUGAUAAACUGGAGGAAGGUGGGGAUGACGUCAAGUCAUCAUGGCCCUUACGAGUAGGGCUACACACGUGCUACAAUGGCGCAUACAAAGAGAAGCGACCUCGCGAGAGCAAGCGGACCUCAUAAAGUGCGUCGUAGUCCGGAUUGGAGUCUGCAACUCGACUCCAUGAAGUCGGAAUCGCUAGUAAUCGUGGAUCAGAAUGCCACGGUGAAUACGUUCCCGGGCCUUGUACACACCG
rnacentral:rRNA from 1 species